rnacentral:rRNA from 1 species
GAUAAACGCUGGCGGCGUGCCUAACACAUGCAAGUCGAACGUCUCUUGCUUCGGCAAGAGGAGUGGCGGACGGGUGAGCAACACGUGGGAACCUGCCCUGCAGUGAGGAAUACCGGCGAGAAAUCGCCGACAAGACCGCAUAGCCUUGGCUGAUGAGAGUCAGGCAAGGAAAGCUUCGCAAGAGGCGCUACAGGAGGGGCCUGCGUCCGAUUAGCUGGUUGGUGGGGUAAGAGCCUACCAAGGCGUCGAUCGGUAGCUGGUCUGAGAGGACGAUCAGCCACACUGGGAUUGAGAACGGCCCAGACUCCUACGGGGGCAGCAGUGAGGAAUUUUCGGCAAUGGGGGCAACCCUGACCGAGCAACGCCGCGUGCAGGAAGAC